UGCACCCCGCUGACGAGCGGCGGACGGGUGAGUAAUGCAUAGGAAACUGCCCAGUAGUGGGGGAUAGCCCGGGGAAACCCGGAUUAAUACCGCGUACGCCCUUCGGGGGAAAGCAGGGGAUCUUCGGACCUUGCGCUAUUGGAUGUGCCUAUGUCGGAUUAGCUAGUUGGUGGGGUAAAGGCCUACCAAGGCGACGAUCCGUAGCUGGUCUGAGAGGAUGAUCAGCCACAUCGGGACUGAGACACGGCCCGAACUCCUACGGGAGGCAGCAGUGGGGAAUAUUGGACAAUGGGGGCAACCCUGAUCCAGCCAUGCCGCGUGUGUGAAGAAGGCUUUCGGGUUGUAAAGCACUUUCAGUGAGGAGGAAAAGUUGGUCGUUAAUACCGGCCAGCCUUGACGUUACUCACAGAAGAAGCACCGGCUAACUCCGUGCCAGCAGCCGCGGUAAUACGGAGGGUGCAAGCGUUAAUCGGAAUUACUGGGCGUAAAGCGCGCGUAGGUGGUUUGAUAAGCGAGAUGUGAAAGCCCCGGGCUUAACCUGGGAACGGCAUUUCGAACUGUCAGGCUAGAGUAUGGUAGAGGAGUGUGGAAUUUCCUGUG
rnacentral:rRNA from 1 species